UGAUCCAGGGAGGUAGUGACAAGAAAUAACAACCUAGUCGUAAGACAGUGGAUUGUAAUGAGUGCAAUUUAAAACACUGCACGAGGAACAAUUGGAGGGCAAGUCUGGUGCCAGCAGCCGCGGUAAUUCCAGCUCCAAUAGCGUAUAUUAAAGUUGUUGCAGUUAAAAAGCUCGUAGUUGAAUUUCUAAUUAGUUAUUUUGGGGUUUAACCUAAAAUAGCUAGUUAUCCGACACUGAACCAUGACGGUUAUUAAGUUAAACCCCAUGGAGAAUUGUCAUUUUACUUUGAAAAAAUUAGAGUGUUUCAGGCAGGCAUUUGCCCGAAUAUCUUAGCAUGGAAUAAUGGAAUAGGACUUUGGUUCAUUUUAUUGGUUAUUGAAUCAGAGUAAUGAUUAAUAGGGACAGUUGGGGGCAUUAGUAUUUAAUUGUCAGAGGUGAAAUUCUUGGAUUUAUUAAAGACUAACUUAUGCGAAAGCAUUUGCCAAGGAUGUUUUCAUUAAUCAAGAACGAAAGUUAGGGGAUCAAAGACGAUCAGAUACCGUCCUAGUCUUAACUAUAAACUAUACCGACUCAGGAUUGGCCAUGUCUUAACUUGGUCAGCACUGUAUGAGAAAUUAAAGUCUUUGGGUUCUGGGGGGAGUAUGGUCGCAAGGCUGAAACUUAAAGGAAUUGACGGAAGGGCACCACCAGGAGUGGAGCCUG
rnacentral:rRNA from 1 species